CGCGUAGUCGAACCCCUAGGCUAAUACGGUUUAAAACUUUAGGCUUAAAGUAAUCAAAGUGUAUACUAUGGAGUGAUUUCCGUACUAUGCGUAGGAUAACUUAUAAGAAAAAGAUACAUCAUAGUUUGAUCUGCCGAGUAUAAACUCAAAGAAUAUGUUUAUUACAAUUUGGGGUAUAUACUACAGUUACAUUGCCAUAAAAAAAAUUGUGAUUGACCACUGGGGAUGUAGGAACGUAAAAUUUUAUUCUUGUUGUGGAAGAAUGCCUGAUACACGACAAUUUGUGACAAGAUAACCGCCUUACAGUAAAGACAAACUUGGUGUAGCAACAGUGACUGAAGACCAUUUGACGGUUUCCAUGGGAUAUAAUUAUAUGAACCAUUGACAAAAUGAUGGAGGACCUUUGUGAUGCUAUGAGACACCAUACAAAUCUAACAGUUAUCUUUUAGUGUUUAAAUGAUGAUUCAACACAAAGGGAAAUAAUCCU